rnacentral:rRNA from 1 species
UACGUAGGGUGCGAGCGUUGUCCGGAAUUAUUGGGCGUAAAGAGCUUGUAGGCGGUUUGUCGCGUCUGCUGUGAAAUCUCAAGGCUCAACCUUGAGCUUGCAGUGGGUACGGGCAGACUAGAGUGUGGUAGGGGGAGACUGGAAUUCCUGGUGUAGCGGUGAAAUGCGCAGAUAUCAGGAGGAACACCGAUGGCGAAGGCAGGUCUCUGGGCCACUACUGACGCUGAGAAGCGAAAGCAUGGGGAGCGAACAGG